rnacentral:rRNA from 1 species
GAUGAACGCUGGCGGCGUGCCUAAUACAUGCAAGUCGAGCGAACAGACGAGGAGCUUGCUCCUCUGACGUUAGCGGCGGACGGGUGAGUAACACGUGGAUAACCUACCUAUAAGACUGGGAUAACUUCGGGAAACCGGAGCUAAUACCGGAUAACAUGUUGAACCGCAUGGUUCAACAGUGAAAGACGGUCUUGCUGUCACUUAUAGAUGGAUCCGCGCCGCAUUAGCUAGUUGGUAAGGUAACGGCUUACCAAGGCAACGAUGCGUAGCCGACCUGAGAGGGUGAUCGGCCACACUGGAACUGAGACACGGUCCAGACUCCUACGGGAGGCAGCAGUAGGGAAGCUUCCGCAAUGGGCGGAAGCCUGACGGAGCAACGCCGCGUGAGUGAAGAAGGUCUUCGGAUCGUAAAACUCUGUUAUUAGGGAAGAACAAAUGUGUAAGUAACUAUGCACGUCUUGACGGCACCUAAUCAGAAAGCCACGGCUAACUACGUG